UUAAGUUAUUAAGGGCGCACGGUGGAUGCCUUGGCACUAGAAGCCGAUGAAGGACGUUACUAACGACGAUAUGCUUUGGGGAGCUGUAAGUAAGCUUUGAUCCAGAGAUUUCCGAAUGGGGAAACCCAGCAUGAGUUAUGUCAUGUUAUCGAUAUGUGAAUACAUAGCAUAUCAGAAGGCACACCCGGAGAACUGAAACAUCUUAGUACCCGGAGGAAGAGAAAGAAAAUUCGAUUCCCUUAGUAGCGGCGAGCGAAACGGGAAGAGCCCAAACCAACAAGCUUGCUUGUUGGGGUUGUAGGACACUCUAUACGGAGUUACAAAGGACGACAUUAGACGAAUCAUCUGGAAAGAUGAAUCAAAGAAGGUAAUAAUCCUGUAGUCGAAAAUGUUGUCUCUCUUGAGUGGAUCCUGAGUACGACGGAGCACGUGAAAUUCCGUCGGAAUCUGGGAGGACCAUCUCCUAAGGCUAAAUACUCUCUAGUGACCGAUAGUGAACCAGUACCGUGAGGGAAAGGUGAAAAGCACCCCGGAAGGGGAGUGAAAUAGAACCUGAAACCGUGUGCUUACAAGUAGUCAGAGCCCGUUAAUGGGUGAUGGCGUGCCUUUUGUAGAAUGAACCGGCGAGUUACGAUUUGAUGCAAGGUUAAGCAGUAAAUGUGGAGCCGUAGCGAAAGCGAGUCUGAAUAGGGCGUUUAGUAUUUGGUCGUAGACCCGAAACCAGGUGAUCUACCCUUGGUCAGGUUGAAGUUCAGGUAACACUGAAUGGAGGACCGAACCGACUUACGUUGAAAAGUGAGCGGAUGAACUGAGGGUAGCGGAGAAAUUCCAAUCGAACCUGGAGAUAGCUGGUUCUCUCCGAAAUAGCUUUAGGGCUAGCCUCAAGUGAUGAUUAUUGGAGGUAGAGCACUGUUUGGACGAGGGGCCCCUCUCGGGUUACCGAAUUCAGACAAACUCCGAAUGCCAAUUAAUUUAACUUGGGAGUCAGAACAUGGGUGAUAAGGUCCGUGUUCGAAAGGGAAACAGCCCAGACCACCAGCUAAGGUCCCAAAAUAUAUGUUAAGUGGAAAAGGAUGUGGCGUUGCCCAGACAACUAGGAUGUUGGCUUAGAAGCAGCCAUCAUUUAAAGAGUGCGUAAUAGCUCACUAGUCGAGUGACACUGCGCCGAAAAUGUACCGGGGCUAAACAUAUUACCGAAGCUGUGGAUUGUCCUUUGGACAAUGGUAGGAGAGCGUUCUAAGGGCGUUGAAGCAUGAUCGUAAGGACAUGUGGAGCGCUUAGAAGUGAGAAUGCCGGUGUGAGUAGCGAAAGACGGGUGAGAAUCCCGUCCACCGAUUGACUAAGGUUUCCAGAGGAAGGCUCGUCCGCUCUGGGUUAGUCGGGUCCUAAGCUGAGGCCGACAGGCGUAGGCGAUGGAUAACAGGUUGAUAUUCCUGUACCACCUAUAAUCGUUUUAAUCGAUGGGGGGACGCAGUAGGAUAGGCGAAGCGUGCGAUUGGAUUGCACGUCUAAGCAGUAAGGCUGAGUAUUAGGCAAAUCCGGUACUCGUUAAGGCUGAGCUGUGAUGGGGAGAAGACAUUGUGUCUUCGAGUCGUUGAUUUCACACUGCCGAGAAAAGCCUCUAGAUAGAAAAUAGGUGCCCGUACCGCAAACCGACACAGGUAGUCAAGAUGAGAAUUCUAAGGUGAGCGAGCGAACUCUCGUUAAGGAACUCGGCAAAAUGACCCCGUAACUUCGGGAGAAGGGGUGCUCUUUAGGGUUAACGCCCAGAAGAGCCGCAGUGAAUAGGCCCAAGCGACUGUUUAUCAAAAACACAGGUCUCUGCUAAACCGUAAGGUGAUGUAUAGGGGCUGACGCCUGCCCGGUGCUGGAAGGUUAAGAGGAGUGGUUAGCUUCUGCGAAGCUACGAAUCGAAGCCCCAGUAAACGGCGGCCGUAACUAUAACGGUCCUAAGGUAGCGAAAUUCCUUGUCGGGUAAGUUCCGACCCGCACGAAAGGCGUAACGAUUUGGGCACUGUCUCAACGAGAGACUCGGUGAAAUCAUAGUACCUGUGAAGAUGCAGGUUACCCGCGACAGGACGGAAAGACCCCGUGGAGCUUUACUGUAGCCUGAUAUUGAAAUUCGGCACAGCUUGUACAGGAUAGGUAGGAGCCUUUGAAACGUGAGCGCUAGCUUACGUGGAGGCGCUGGUGGGAUACUACCCUAGCUGUGUUGGCUUUCUAACCCGCACCACUUAUCGUGGUGGGAGACAGUGUCAGGCGGGCAGUUUGACUGGGGCGGUCGCCUCCUAAAAGGUAACGGAGGCGCUCAAAGGUUCCCUCAGAAUGGUUGGAAAUCAUUCAUAGAGUGUAAAGGCAUAAGGGAGCUUGACUGCGAGACCUACAAGUCGAGCAGGGUCGAAAGACGGACUUAGUGAUCCGGUGGUUCCGCAUGGAAGGGCCAUCGCUCAACGGAUAAAAGCUACCCCGGGGAUAACAGGCUUAUCUCCCCCAAGAGUUCACAUCGACGGGGAGGUUUGGCACCUCGAUGUCGGCUCAUCGCAUCCUGGGGCUGUAGUCGGUCCCAAGGGUUGGGCUGUUCGCCCAUUAAAGCGGUACGCGAGCUGGGUUCAGAACGUCGUGAGACAGUUCGGUCCCUAUCCGUCGUGGGCGUAGGAAAUUUGAGAGGAGCUGUCCUUAGUACGAGAGGACCGGGAUGGACAUACCUCUGGUGUACCAGUUGUCGUGCCAACGGCAUAGCUGGGUAGCUAUGUGUGGACGGGAUAAGUGCUGAAAGCAUCUAAGCAUGAAGCCCCCCCUCAAGAUGAGAUUUCCCAACUUCGGUUAUAAGAUCCCUCAAAGAUGAUGAGGUUAAUAGGUUCGAGGUGGAAGCAUGGUGACAUGUGGA
rnacentral:rRNA from 3 species